AGUGAAUGCAGUAAAUUUGUAGAAUUUAUGCUCUAAAAAGUUUUAAAUAUGGUAAAUUGUAUUAUAAAUUAUUUUUAGGAGUCGAGAAAGAAAGAAAAUCUAACUUAGUUCAAACGUCUGACUUGACGGUUUCACGAUAGUUUGCUAAAAUAAAUGAUUCAUCGGAAAAAUUCACGUCGAUACACCAGUCACGAGUAGAUGGCUCAUGUCGACGAACGGAUCCUGAAUUAACCACGAAAACGAGAGGUUAAAUAAGCUGCCCAGUCACGUUUUGACUCUUUAACGCGACCGCAACCUUUACAGAUGCUACAUUAUAGCAACCUUUCGUAACUGACAUGUAAUUAUCGAACCAAUCGAGGCUGACUACACCUCUGGCUAAUUCGUUAACGCCGACGACCGGUCGAUACCAGGUGUUUCGAGUAUCGGCCAGCUUUACCGAGAAUGAGGUAACGACCUCAUCGACGAUCCUUUUCGUUUCGCGUGUAAUUGACAUCCGGAAUCGUCAGCUAAUAUACGAAUAGAUGAUCGAAUCAACCAGGCUUCCUAAAAUCAUCUUUACGCGUACCAGUAAACCAUAUUACGACAAUCAUCUAGACAACUGUGGGACAGGAGUGGCUCGUUUUCGAAGCAAGAUGAGACAGAGUUAAGCAAAUGGAUGUAAUUCCUAAUGGAUAGAGCGUUAGACAACGUUCCCCGGUCGGGAUGAAUGUUAAUAUCUGCUCGGGGACGGAAUCGCAAAGUUUUCAAUUAACGGUGAGAAAUUUUUAAACGUCACGACGUUGAAGAGGAUCAAGAGGAUGAAGAUCGUUCUCUAACGAGGCACAACAUCGCUAAUGCAAUUGGAUAAUUAAAAGAACGAAUCGUGAAUCGCGUUUCUCUUAAUAAUAGCCAUGGAUUCGUCGAAUAUUCCUCCGACUGACGACGCGGCACGUAUAGACUAAACUCGUAAGACGUGACAUCAGAUGUUGCGCCAUUAGGAUUCCAAAGGACACUUUGGAACUCCGCCGAGAGUUUCCGGGAUGCAUGCAACAAUCGGAUUGGAUUACUCGCUCGAAUACUCGAGAUGUACAUCCGUGAGUGACGAGAGGAUAUUGUGAUCGAGUUUGAAGGAUUUGGAGAGGGGCGAACGAUAUUUAGCGGCGGAGUUGCCUAUUAAAUACAGCUACCUCUAAUCCUUAAUACCUCUGUGAAUCCAAUCUCCCGUUUAAAUUUAGUCGGAGUAUGUGAUAUCAAAAUGGGGUUAAAUACCAAGUGUCGG